rnacentral:hammerhead_ribozyme from 1 species
AUCCAGAAAACGAGUCCCCAAUAGGACGAAACGUGCUUCCUGGAU